UGGCUGAGGACGAUUCCCUGAGCCUUGACAAAGCAGGAGCCCUCCGUGGCGGUGCGUCGGUGUCGAGGCUCCAGUCUGACUAAUCCAGGGGGUCGACAAAACAGAUUCGGGACACUAUGCUACACGGAGGGCCUACCAGGAUGCAGAAACAGCAGACGGAGUCCAGGGAAAGCAGUGCGGCAUCCCAGCCUCAGGCCUGCCCGUACGGUGUUCGGACGGAAUGAAGUUGAUAAUAGUGAGACCUUGUUGGUACAAGACUAUGUAACAUAACCUGCGCUUCUCAACAAAGAAUUGCUUUUCUGACUUCUGCACUCAAUAGCAAGACAAAUCUCUCCUCUGCCUUCUCCUUAUCAGACUACUCAACAUGAAGGCAAUAAGAAUGAAGACCUCUAUGUAUAAUAAUUGACUUCCACUUAAUAAAUAGCUAGCUUGGACUUGUUCUGAUGGAAAUAGCAGGAGUCCCAACUACAAGAGUUGCAAUGUCAAGGCCUCAUCUUAUAACUGGCACAUAGGUCACUUCCACCAUAUUCUUUUUGCUAACGAAAGUCACAAAGUCAGUCCAUGUUCAAGUAGAGGGGAAACUGACUCCACCACUUGAUGUGAAGAGUUGGAAUAUCAUAGUUAUUGUUUCUUGUGACUUGCCAUAGCGUAUUUUCUCACACUAACAACUCUGUAUUUCUUCCCAAAUUCUGAAAAAUUCUUUUGUUGGCUCUUCCUGUACUUGAUUCAUUACAUUAAGUUUUCCAUUUAAAUGUUAUUUCCUUGGAAAGACUUUAUCAUUUGUCAAGUAGGUGUAUUCUCUUCAUCAGUUACUCUAUUUUCUCAUUACAAUAUGAACUUUGUAAAAAUGGGAACUUUACUUUGUUUAUGCCAGUAGUUUAUAUACAUUUUCUGUUACGUGAAAAGUACAAAAUGUUUUUUUCAUGGUUAAAGAAAUAAAAGAAUAAAUAUGUAAUCACUGCAA
ensembl:lncRNA MIR663AHG MIR663A host gene